UUCCGGUUGAUCCCGCCGGACCCCACUGCUAUCGGGAUGGGACUAAGACAUGCUAGUCGAGCGCCUUCUAGCCACGACGAAGGCGCGGCGCACAGCUCAGUAACACGUGGCUAACCUGCCCUUGGGAUAGGAACACCCCCGGGAAACUGGGGCUAAUUCCCAAUAGGCGAAGAACUCUGGAAUGAGUCUUCACCAGAAAGGACGUUUGCGUCAUGCUCGCAGGCGUCGCCUAAGGAUGGGGCCGCGACCGAUCAGGUUGUUGGUGAGGUAAUGGCCCACCAAGCCUAUAACCGGUGCGGGCCGUGAGAGCGGGAGCCCGGAGAUGGGCACUGAGACAAGGGCCCAGGUCCUACGGGGCGCAGCAGUCGCGAAAACUUUGCAAUACACGAAAGUGUGACAGGGUCAUCCCGAGUGCCGACCGCUGAGGUUGGCUUUUACCCAGUCUAGAAAGCUGGGGGAAUAAGGAGAGGGCAAGUCUGGUGUCAGCCGCCGCGGUAAUACCAGCUCUCCGAGUGGUGUG
rnacentral:rRNA from 1 species